rnacentral:rRNA from 1 species
AGUGAACGCUGGCGGUAGGCCUAACACAUGCAAGUCGAACGGCAGCACAGUAAGAGCUUGCUCUUACGGGUGGCGAGUGGCGGACGGGUGAGGAAUACAUCGGAAUCUACUUUUUCGUGGGGGAUAACGUAGGGAAACUUACGCUAAUACCGCAUACGACCUACGGGUGAAAGCAGGGGAUCUUCGGACCUUGCGCGAUUGAAUGAGCCGAUGUCGGAUUAGCUAGUUGGCGGGGUAAAGGCCCACCAAGGCGACGAUCCGUAGCUGGUCUGAGAGGAUGAUCAGCCACACUGGAACUGGGACACGGUCCAGACUCCUACGGGAGGCAGCAAUGGGGAAUAUUGGACAAUGGGCGCAAGCCUGAUCCAGCCAUACCGCGUGGGUGAAGAAGGCCUUCGGGUUGUAAAGCCCUUUUGUUGGGAAAGAAAAGCAGCAGGUUAAUACCCCGCUGUUCUGACGGUACCCAAAGAAUAAGCACCGGCUAACUUCGUG